GACGAACGCUGGCGGCGUGCUUAACACAUGCAAGUCGAACGAUGAAGAAGAGCUUGCUCUUCGGAUUAGUGGCGAACGGGUGAGUAACACGUGACUAACCUGCCCCUUUCUCUGGGAUAACGCUCCGAAAGGAGUGCUAAUACCGGAUACUCACAUCGAGGCACAUGCCUUGAUGUGGAAAGUUUUUCGGAAAGGGAUGGAGUGGCGGCCGAUCAGCUUGUUGGUGAGGUAACGGCGCCCCAAGGCGACGACGGGUAGCCGGCCUGAGAGGGCGACCGGCCACACUGGGACUGAGACACGGCCCAGACUCCUACGGGAGGCAGCAGUGGGGAAUAUUGCACAAUGGGCGAAAGCCUGAUGCAGCGACGCCGCGUGAGGGAUGAAGGUCUUCGGAUUGUAAACCUCCUUCAGUAGGGACGAAGCGAAAGUGACGGUACCUAAAGAAGAAGCACCGGCUAACUACGUGCCAGCCGCCGCAGUAA
rnacentral:rRNA from 1 species